rnacentral:rRNA from 1 species
GACGAACGCUGGCGGCGUGCUUAACACAUGCAAGUGGAGCGACGAACCGGUCUUCGGACCGGGGCAGAGCCGCGAACGGGUGAGUAACACGUGGGUAACCCACCCCGAUGGCCGGGACAACCCGAGGAAACUCGGGCUAAUACCGGAUGAGCUCUCAUCUUUUGAGAGAUGUGAGGAAAGAUAGCUUCGGCCUUCGCAUCGGGACGGGCCCGCGGCCCAUUAGCUUGUUGGUGGGGUAACGGCCUACCAAGGCGACGAUGGGUAGCUGGUCUGAGAGGACGAUCAGCCACACUGGGACUGAGACACGGCCCAGACUCCUACGGGAGGCAGCAGUGGGGAAUCUUGCACAAUGCGCGAAAGCGUGAUGCAGCAACGCCGCGUGGGGAAGAAGG